CAUAUACCCCAUCCGUCUCAAAAUUUUUGUCUUAGAUUUGUCUAGAUAUGGAUGUAUCUAAUACUAAAAUGUGACUUGAUACAUCUAUAUUUAGACAAAUGUAAGACAAAAUUUUUGGGACGGAGGGAGUAUAAG
rfam:Triticum aestivum genome assembly, contig: Triticum_aestivum_CS42_TGACv1_scaffold_160218_2DL